AAGGGCACCACAAGAACGCGUGGAGCAUGUGGCUUAAUUUGACUCAACGCGGGAAAUCUUACCGGGUCCGGACACACUGAGGAUUGACAGGCAAUAUUACUUAAAUUUUUGAAACUUUUUCGGAAGUGGAAAUUAUUUUUGUAUGUAAAUAUGCUAGUCCUUUCAUGAUUAUGUGAUAGGUGGUGCAUGGCCGUUCUUAGUUCGUGGAGUGAUCUGUCUGCUUAAUUGCGUUUCACUUAGAGCUUAUAAUAACGUAUGCUUGCUCGCAUAUUUGACCCCUUAAUUUCUUUUUUAUUUAACUUUUUACUUUUUUUGCUUCGGCUUAAAAACUUUAAAGGGUAAUUUAAUUGAGAUUUUGUGCGUUUGUCAUUUAUGUAUCCAGCAGCAUACAAUUAAGCUCUGAAAGCAACGAACGAGACCGCAUCCUCUUGUUGCCUCUAAUGUUUAUUAAUUUUUUGUAUUUAUACUUAAAAUUAAUAAUAAACAGAGGCUUUAAAACUAGAGGGACCGCUGUAACUUUUUUAAACCAGAGGAAGGUUGCGGCAAUAACAGGUCUGUGAUGCCCUUAGAUGUUCCGGGCUGCACACGUGCUACAAUGAUUGUUGCAGUGAGCAUCUCAUUUAAACACCAUUGUUAACUAAAUUUAAUUUUUUUUUUUUCUUUUUUUAUUUUGAAAUUACUUUGAGACUUCGGUUGAAAAGUGAUUUUAAAAAUAUUUUAAGUUUGAAAAAAAAUAUUUUAUUUAGCCAAAUAAUGGUUAAGCCUGCUUCGAAAGUAAGUAGGUAAUCAAUCCAAAGUAACGAUUUCCCAGCAUUAGCACACCUAUAUGCAGCGUUUAUACCCAGACGUAAGCUUGCCUUAUGUUCUUGUGCGUAUAAAUGUUUUAACUGCAUGUGCUUGUGUCAAUUCAUGGUGGGGACAGACCAUUGUUAAUUGUUGGUCUCGGUCUUAACUAGGAAUGCCUUGUACGGGUCUUUGGUUCAACAAACCACCCGGAAUACGUCCCUGCCCUUUGUACACACCGCCCGUCGCUCUUACCGAUGGACUUCUCUGUGAGUUUGAUGGACUGGAAAUUUAAUUUUCUUCGGAAAGUUAAUAUUCUAUGGAAAAUUAAACAAACAGUGUGGUCUAAAGGAAAGAGAAGUCGUAACAAGGCAUCNGUAGGUGAACCU
rnacentral:rRNA from 1 species